rnacentral:rRNA from 1 species
UGGUUGAUCCUGCCAGUAGUGUAUGCUUUUCCUAAAGAUUAAGCCAUGCAUGCCUUCGAAUAAGAGGAAGCAAUUCUCUCUGAAUCUGCGAACGGCUCCGCAAACCAGUUGUAAACUCGAGUAAACACGCUUGGCCACGGGCCCUCACGGGCCUAGGCCAAGCUACAUGGAUAACCGUGGUAAUUCUGAGGCUAAUACAUGACAGCAAGCAAGCUCGGUCCGCAUCAGUUCCCUCGUGGAACCGCGGGCCGGGUGGAUGUGUGAUUUAACGGCUUGGGAAUCCAUGACAGAACGCACGUUUGGACCAUCGUCAAUGGCCGCUGCGGCCCCUCGGGGCCAAAGCCGGCUAGGUGGCUUUUACUACGUGCUUCUGACCUAUCAACUAGACGGCAGCGUAACGUACAUGCCGUGGUUACAACGGGUACAGAGGAUUAGAGUUCGAUUCUGGAGAGUGGGCCUGAGAGAUUGCUCAUACUUCUAAGGAAGGCAGCAGGCGCGCAACGUUCCCAGUGGGCAAAGCCCGAGGGCGUUAGGGGAAAUAUGAAUGCCUGCCAAUAAGGCGGGCAAUUCAAAUGGGUCUGUUGUAAAUAGGCUCUCGAGUAACAAUUAGAGGACAAGUCUGGUGCCAGCACCCGCGGUAAUUCCAGCUCUAAUAGCAUACGUUAAAGUUGUUGCGGUUAAAACGCUCGUAGUCGGCUUCAGACCGUCAGAAACUCGAGCCUGGAACCUGGAUUUGUCGCUCUUAACUGAGCGUGCCGGGCGACGGGCAAGGGUAGGCGGCGGUCAAGCGUACCCGUUAGCGUGCGGCUUCGGCUGCUUACAAGGCUCGAGUCGGCUUCGGCUUCUCUUGCCCGGCUUCGGGUGCCAUUUACCAUGAUUAAACUGGGGUGAUCAAAGCAAGCCGUUCGGCUGCUGCACAGCGCAGCAUGGCACAAGCUAUACCGGCCCGGUUCCCCAAGCGGACCGCGUGCUGGCUAGAAGCGAAAGGGGUGUUCGAGGGUAACCGAAUAGCUGGGCGAGUGGUGAAAUACGUUGACCCUAGCUAGUCGACCGAAGGCGAAAGCAGUUGCCAAGGGCACGCCCGUUGAUCAAGAGCGAAAGUUAAGGGUUCGAAGACGAUCAGAUACCGUCGUAGUCUUAACUAUAAAUGAUACUGGCUAGAGAUAGGACGUCGUCCAUCUCGACUCCUCCCGGACCUUAGAGAAAUCAUAGCCUUUGAGUUCUGGGGGGAGUAUGGUCGCAAGACUGAAACUUAAAGGAAUUGACGGAAGGGCACACAAAGAGUGGAACCUGCGGCUUAAUUUGACUCAACACGGGAAAACUCACCAGGUCCUGAUACACAGAUGAAAGACAAGCUGAUAGACUUUUCUCAAUAAUGUAAGUGGUGGUGCAUGGUCGUUCUUAGUUCGUGGAUUGGUCUGUCUGGUCUAUUCCGAUAACGAGCGAGACCCCGACGUUCUUACUAGGGGCGGCAGCCCGGCUUGGCGGAUUCGUCUUCCUCGCUAGCAGCCGCCUUACCCUAUGCUUCUUAGACGGAUCGAGGCCGAAAAGGUCUCUGAAAUGGGUUAAUAACAGGUCAGUCAUGCCCUUAGAUGUUCUGGGCCGCACGCGCGUUACAAUGGCAUGCUUAGUAAGCGUCCAUUACGGGCUUGCCCGCGGCUUACCGGCUGCGGCAACCCUUAGUCCCUGCCUUGACUGGGACAGACUAUUGCAAUUAUUGGUCUCCAACGAGGAAUUUUUAGUAGUCACGGGUCAUUAACCCGUGCCGAAUGCGUCCCUGCCCUUUGUACACACCGCCCGUCGCUGCUACCGAUUGGGUUUUGCGGUUACGCGUUCGGAGGCCGUGGUCACCGCCUGCUUUCGGGUAGGUGGAGACCGUGGCCAAAGUUCUAAUUACCGCACG